rnacentral:rRNA from 1 species
GCUUGCUCCUCCGAUCAGUGGCGAACGGGUGAGUAACACGUGAGUAACCUGCCCCAGACUCUGGGAUAACAGUUGGAAACAGCUGCUAAUACCGGAUACGAGACGGAGAGGCAUCUCUACCGUCUGGAAAGUUUUUCGGUCUGGGAUGGACUCGCGGCCUAUCAACUAGUUGGUGAGGUAACGGCUCACCAAGGCGACGACGGGUAGCCGGCCUGAGAGGGCGACCGGCCACACUGGGACUGAGACACGGCCCAGACUCCUACGGGAGGCAGCAUUGGGGAAUAUUGCACAAUGGGCGAAAGCCUGAUGCAGCGACGCCGCGUGAGGGACGACGGCCUUCGGGUUGUAAACCUCUUUCAGCAAGGAAGAAGCGAAAGUGACGGUACCUGCA